GGAGGGACCACAGGCGUGGUGCAACAGCAGUAGCAGGGGAGCACAAGUAGAGCUUCUAUUGCAGGAUCAUCGCAUGCACGACAGGAGUAGAUCCUAGCUUAUGUUCCCUUCUUGAAAUCUAGGUUUUAGGGAGUAUACCCUUGUAUUUUGUAAACAUGAAAAUGUUUGUAUAACUUAAUUUAUAUAAUAAAUGUUUAAACUUGAUUGGAUGAAUUUAACGUUGUAGUUCAUAUAACCAUAUUUCAUGUCUAUGUAUUUAUAUUUAUUUAA